rnacentral:rRNA from 1 species
AUUGAACGCUGGCGGCAUGCUUUACACAUGCAAGUCGAACGGUAACAGGCCUUCGGGUGCUGACGAGUGGCGAACGGGUGAGUAAUUCAUCGGAACGUGCCCAGAGGUGGGGGAUAACGCAGCGAAAGCUGUGCUAAUACCGCAUGUGAUCUGAGGAUGAAAGCGGGGGACCAGGCAGCAAUGUUUGGCCUCGCGCCUUUGGAGCGGCCGAUGUCAGAUUAGGUAGUUGGUGGGGUAAAGGCCUACCAAGCCGACGAUCUGUAGCUGGUCUGAGAGGACGACAAGCCACACUGGGACUGAGACACGGCCCAGACUCCUACGGGAGGCAGCAGUGGGGAAUUUUGGACAAUGGGCGCAAGCCUGAUCCAGCAAUGCCGCGUGCGGGAAGAAGGCCUUCGGGUUGUAAACCGCUUUUGUACGGAGCGAAAAGGCUCUGGCUAAUACCUGGGGCUGAUGACGGUACCGUAAGAAUAAGCACCGGCUAACUACGUG